AAUUAAAUGAAUUAUACCUUCAUGUAAACAUCGAUAUCAGGAUCUGGCUUAAUGUUGGCUUCUUUCUCCCUUCUUGAGAGCUCCGUAAGCAUGUCUGUGUAAUUCAAAACACCAUAAGGUUCACUCUACCAAAGAGAAGGCAAGUGUUUCCCGGACUGUCAUUUCGCCGACGUGAACAUCGUGCUGACCGAUGUAUGCCGAUGUCCGCUGAGGGACAAACUCAUCCAUGUCAUGCCCAUUUCUUUUGCCUGAAGAUCAGAACAACUCAAACUCAAGAAAAUACGCAAGAUGUUGGUACCUUCAGAGUUGAGUCAAGUUUCCCUGCCAAAGCUAGAAGUAGACUCGUUUUCCCAGAUCCAGGAGGUCCAAGCAACAAAGACAUCCUGAAGAAAUUCCACAAUCCACAUGGCCUUAUGAUUCCACUGAUGUCAUGAAGGAUGGAGAUGGGCCUCUUCCCGCUCGAAACGAUGCGCAGAGCACUUAGCGCAUCCUGUGAUAGGAGCGGGUCAAUGGGGUCAGAAGCUGAAGAAACUUGACGAUUGCACGUUUUCCAUGGCUAGGAAGCAUUCAUGAAGCUGCCAAUGCAGAUGCGUACCAUGACUUUGUUGGAGAAGAAGUUGGUGAACGUUGGGACGCCCCGGUUGCCGACGUAGGCCUCCGCGUCAAUGUUGAGGUGCUCAAACCGUACUUCUAUUGUCGGAUUGUCAAUCCCAACUCUGCAAGUCCAACGAAAAUCAUGAAUAAAUCGAGAUUUCAGAAAGAACUGAAGCAGAGUCGUCAGUGCUUUUUACCGCUCCAUGCGGUCGCGGAGCUUGAGGAGGAAUCGCUCGUUGUCCUCCUCGGCGGUGCGGAUGAGGCGCUCGAUGAGGUUCUUGCGCUCCUGCAUGC